GCCAUCCUUGGGAUACCACCCUUGUAGUACUGGGACUCUAACCAUAGGCCAUGAAUCUGGUCUUGGGACACUGUCAGGUGGGCAGUUUGACUGGGGCGGUCGCCUCCCAAAAGGUAACGGAGGCGCUCAAAGGUUCUCUCAGUACGGUCGGAAAUCGUACGUAGAGUGUAAAGGCAAAAGAGAGCUUGAUUGCAAGACAUACAGGUCGAGCAAGGAUGAAAAUCGGACUUAGUGAUCCGGUGGUUCUGCGUGGAAGGGCCAUCGCUCAACGGAUAAAAGCUACCCUGGGGAUAACAGGCUUAUCUCCCCCAAGAGUCCACAUCGACGGGGAGGUUUGGCACCUCGAUGUCGGCUCAUCACAUCCUGGGGCUGUAGUAGGUCCCACGGGUUGGGCUGUUCGCCCAUUACAGUGGUACGCGCGCUGGGUUCAGAACGUCGUGCGACAGUUCGGUCCCUAUCCGUCGCAGGCGUAGGAAAUUUGAGAAGACCUGUCCUUAGUACGAGAGGACCGGGAUGGACGUACCUCUGGGGUACCAG
rnacentral:rRNA from 1 species